AAAAAUAAAAUUACUUUAAAUUUUUUAAGUGAAAUUUUAAAUUUAAUUAAUUUUAUAUAAAUAAUUUUAAUGAAGCUAAAAAAUUUUAAUAAUAAACUAGGAUUAGAUACCCUAUUAUUUAAAAAGUAAAUUUAAGUACUUGAGUAGUAAUAGAUAUGAUCUUUAAACUUAAAGAAUUUGGCGGUGUUUUAGUCUAUUUAGAGGAACCUGUCCUGUAAUCGAUAAUCCACGUUGGACCUUACUAAAGUUUGUUUUCAAUUUGUAUAUCGCCGUUAUCAGAAUAUCUUAAAAGAGGAAUAAUUUUCUUAAUUUAUAAUUAUAAUUGAUGUCAGGUCAAGGUGCAGUUUAUAUUUUAGUAGAGAUGGGUUACAAUAAAUUUAUUUAAACGUUAAAUUGUUUGAAAUAAUGAUUUUAAGGUGGAUUUAAAAGUAAAA
rnacentral:rRNA from 1 species